rnacentral:misc_RNA from 1 species
GAUGAAGAACGUAGCGAAAUGCGAUAAGUAAUGUGAAUUGCAGAAUUCAGUGAAUCAUCGAAUCUUUGAACGCACAUUGCGCCCCUUGGUAUUCCGCAGGGCAUGCCUGUUCGAGCGUCAUUUCAACCCUCAAGCUCUGCUUGGUGUUGGGCCCUGCCCGCUGCGGCCGGCCCUAAAGACAGUGGCGGUGCCGCCUGGCCCUGAGCGUAGUACAUCUCUCGCUCCAGUGCCCGGUGGUAGCCUGCCAGAACCCCAACUCUCGUGGUUGACCUCGGAUCAGGUAGGGAUACCCGCUGAACUUAAGCAUAUCAAUAAGCGGAGGA